rnacentral:rRNA from 1 species
AAUACGUUCCCGGGCCUUGUACACACCGCCCGUCAAGUCACGAAAGUCGGUAACACCCGAAGCCGGUGGCCCAACUCGUAAGAGGGGGGCCGUCGAAGGUGGGACUGGCGAUUGGGACU